rnacentral:rRNA from 1 species
UACGUAGGGCGCAAGCGUUGUCCGGAAUUAUUGGGCGUAAAGAGCUCGUAGGCGGCCUGUUGCGUCCGCUGUGAAAUCCCGGGGCUUAACCCCGGGCGUGCAGUGGAUACGGGCAGGCUGGAGGCAGGCAGGGGAGAACGGAAUUCCCGGUGUAGCGGUGAAAUGCGCAGAUAUCGGGAGGAACACCUGUGGCGAAGGCGGCCAACUGGGCCGGCCCUGACGCUGAGGCGCGAAGGCGUGGGGAGCGAACGGG